AUGGAGAAAUUGGAACUGUUGUUCAUUGCUGAUGGGAAUAUAAAGUGGUGCAGCCACUGUGAAAGACAGUAAGACAGUUCCUCAAAAAAUUAAACAAUUAUCAUAGGAUCUGGUACUUCCACUUCUCAAUAUAUAUACAAAAGAAUUUAAAGCAGAAACUUGAACAGAUAUAUAGCCAUAGCAGCAUAUAUUCACAAUAGCCAAAAGGUGGAAACAACCGAAUGUCCAUUGAUAGAUGAAUGGAUACACACAAUGGUACAUACAUACAAUCAAAUAUUAUUUACCCUUAAAAAGAAUUAACUUUUGACACAUGCUAAAACAUGGAUAAACUUGGAAGACAUUAUGCUAAGUGGAGUAAGCCAGGCACAAAAGGACAACUAUUGCAUGAUCCCCCUUUAUGAGGUCCCUAGAACAGUCAAAUUCGUAGAGACAGAAAGUAAAACAAUGGUUACCAGGGACUAGGGUAAGGAGGAAUUGGAAAGUUAUUGUUUAAUGCGUACAGAGUUCAGUUUCGGAUGAUGGAACAGUUCUGGAUAUGGAUAAUGGUCAGGUUUGCACAACAAGAUGAAUGUUCUUAAUGCCACUGAAUGUAUACUUAAAAUGGUAGAUUUUAUGGUAUGUGUAUUUUACCACAUUAAAAAAAAAGAUAUGCAGACUCCAAGAGGUGUUCUACUGGGAGAACAUUAGCCAGAGAAAUAGUUUUCAGGGUAUAUUUUAAGUUAUGUGUAAGUUGUUGAGUGAAUUAAUAAGAUUCUUUAAUUUUUUUUCCCUUACAUCUUGGGAGAGAUCAGAGUGAGAGAUUGGAACAAGGGAGAGAAGGAAAACAAAACAAAAGAUAAUUUCAGGUUUCUAGGAGCAGACAGAGAAAAUUAAACAAAGGAAGGCACCAUUAACAAGGAGAGUCUCCUGAGGGUUUAGGACGCCCGUUUUAAGUAGGAGUGAGCGUGUUGGACCUUCUCCGCGUUGAGCCUGCAGUCGCCAUGGAGCUGUGUACAGGACCUGGGAAAGGAGCCGGUGCUACCCAGGCAGAAGGAGGCUCCCAGAGUGUGAAGCCAGCCAGGCAGGGCUAGGCCCAGGUAGGUGAUUGAGCUGCAGGUAAGACCUUCGGUCCUUCCACCAGAGCUGUUGGGCCAAGUCCUGGUGGCCACUGUGCUCCUCUGUGAGCCUUGCAGUGCUCAGACCUGACUGCCAAUUCCUUCCACUAGAGGGAGUUUUUGAAAACGGCCCCCAGAGGUAGUGCUUCUAAUCAUUUGCCUUUGCCUUCAUUCCUGUACCUCUCUGUUCCCUUUUCCAGAUUUCCAGUGUUCUUUCUAGAAGCCUUGUUGCCCACAUGCUGCACUUUCAGAGUGACAGCUAUGUCAACAUGCCCUUCAGUGUCUUUCCUGGGUAUAAACCUCACCUCAGUGUCUCUCCUGGAUAUAAAGCUUAUAAUGCCAAUGUUACAGGUUUUCUGCUUCCUCUAGACUCAGUGUUAUUCAGCGUGUUUUCUCUGAAAGAGUGUUUUAUAGUGCUCUUCAUAUCUGUUAGCUUAGAUCUGUGUGUACUCAUAAUUUAAAACACACCGUGUGUUUACGUCUUUUUCCUGAACCGUUGAGAGAGUUGCAGGCACGAUGGCCCCCAUCCCUAAAUACUUCAGUGUGUAUUUUCUAAAACUAAAUACAUUUUCUUCCAUAACCAGACGGAACUUAUUGGAAUCAGGAAAUUAACGUUGAUGAAGUACUAUUGUCUAAUCUACAGAAGUUAUUCAGAUUUUACAAAUUAUCCAACAAUGUCCAUUAGAGCAAAAGAAGCAGUAGAUGAUGUGUUGCAGUCAGCUGUCAUGAUGCUUGGUCUCCUUCGGUCUGUAACUUUCCUCAGUUUUUCUUUGCUUUUCAUGAUAUUGACAUUUUUGAAAGGUACAAGCCAGGUAUUUUGUAGCUGCUCCUUGAUUUGAAUUUGUCUAAUUUUCCCUUACUAUAAGUUAUACAUUUCUUGGGCAGGGGAAGUGGAGGACCACAGAAGUGCUGUGUUAUAGUAUCUUAUAUUUAUAUUCUCAUGUUUAUAUUGUUAUAUUUAUUUUCUUAUAUUUUAUAGCUACAUAAAGUAUAUAGGUACAUAUUAUAGACAUAUACAUAGGUGUGUUUUUAUAUCUUUCUGUUUUUUAAUCCUCUUAGGAUUUUGUCUUUUCUAAUUGAGGUUCUGAAAUUUCGUUGUAAAUUUCUUCAGGUUUUUUCCUCCUCCUCCUGCUGGAUACUAGGUGGCUCUUCCAAUUUCAGAAUGUCUUUAUUGUUGGAAAAGUACCAGCUAUAUUUUACAAAGAUGCCUCUCCUUCAUUCUUUUGCUUUUCUCUGAGAAUUCCUUUCAUUUGCAAGAAUGCUGAUGUAUUUGAUUUUAUUUGUACUGUCUGUUCUGUCAUUUCUAAAGUUUAGUGUGAGAGGAAGCCAUUCACAACCAGAAACUCUAUUUUUUUUUUUUUUUUUUGCAUGCCAUUAUGCUUCUCUAGUUUCCUUCCAUUUGUGGUCAUGUCAGUAAGUAAAAUGAUCCAAAGUUGACCCCGUUUCUACCAGUGUGAAAUAGCUUUGUGCACAGUGCUGGAAGCUAAAACGUACUAACCAUGGUCUUUGAAACUCUAAACAUUAUUAAUGUCCCUUUGAAAAAGAGCUUUUCCCCACAAGGGUGAAAGACAUGUUAAAUUGGUACUUCUCAACAGAUGUGUAGGGAGGUUGUUGGUAUAAAAACUAAGGUUUGGGAUCAGCGUGGAAAUAUUAGAAAUGAUGGGCCAGUAAACACUUCUAGGUUCUUCCGGUGAAUUCCAGCAGGAUAAAGUUUUUUUGCCCAGACACUACAGCAGAACAAGGGAAAGAACAGAGAAGAAGAGAUCCUGAAAUUCCAGUGCUGGAAUUCAUCCACUCAACCCGGUCAACUCCAUCUUGAAACUCUACCCUGUGGAUUCGUUUCAUGAAUGAUGACCCCAAGACCAAAGACCAGGGAAUCCUCAAAGAAGGAGAUGAAAUUCUCCAAGGACACGUGAUCAAGGACCCAGUAGAGAGGCGACGUGAAGAGCUGCCGUACCUGUGUGAGCUCGUGUCUGCACCCAGCUAAUGGGGAAUGGUGAAGCCACUAGAGGGAAAGUUUUAGGACAAAAAUGACGUUUUCUAUAGAAAGCAGCUGAAGCAUUUUAAGAGAUGGAUGAAAACAAGGGAGCUCUCGAGUAUAAUUGUGAAGGAGAUUCUUAAGCUAAAUCUAAGUGAUUAAAGAAAUUUUAUGACUAGAUUUCUGUAGUGCACCUUCAUCAGCAUGUGUGCUGUUUUAAUCUGAAAUAGGAGCUGAGAUCAUGGGGUUGGGUGACCCCUUACUUCGGACAGUCCCCUCCCACAGCUUCUCGCUUGUGAAUUUUGUCAGGCUCCACAAAUGGGGAGACGUCCAGUAAAUGACCCCACCACUUGAACAGAAAGCCCUUUGUGAUGGUCUUAAUCCACGGGGUGACCUCCUCCUGUUCCUAGGCUGCCCUGUCCAGGAGGACCCCCAUCUCCUCCCAGGUCAUGUAGCAGUAAUGUUGGACCCCCCUGGGGUCUAGGUUCACCAUGAGGUUUUUCCUCACAAACAGAAGAUAGCCAAUUUUAUGGUCCCGCCAGACAUUAUUCAAUGGACUCUUGUGGUAAAUUCGGGUCAUAAAAAUUAUAUCCUUUAUGGAAAGCUGUGACAAAAGUUGAUCUGUGUUAAUUCAAACACAAGGAAAAUACGUUGGAGAGAGAAUUCAAAUUCAUUCUUUUUUUCAUUAAAAAAAUAUAUACAGUGCAUCCACUGAGUGCCACUCACUCAUUUUUCACUGGGGAGACCAAAUUAAAGAAAGCACAGUUUUAUAGCCUUGAAAAUUCAUUUUGUUGUGCACCCAAUGGGAUAAUUAUAUGGACACAAUUGAAAUAUGAAAAGUGCUAUAAGUAACUGAUAAGCGUAUUUCUGUGGGGCACAUACACCCUGAUUUCAUAAACAAAAGUCGUAUUUUAUCUGUAAAUACCAUGUAAGGGAUUUCUGUGUUCAUAGAUUGUGAAUCGGGUUUUCAUAGGUUUCAUGAGAAGGCUCUACCUCUGAUUCUUAUCUAACUCAGCAUCACUUAUUAAGUAACAACCAAUGUUCAGAUUCUUCGCUUUCACCUAUCCUCAUGUUGUAAAAACAGAGAAUGCAUCAUAGAAAUCCACACACAAUUUUCUAAAUUUGCACCCAAAGUUUAUUUUCUUUCCUGGAGUUUUGAUUGGAGGUAAGAAUUUGAGUAACUAACACAGUUGUGUAGAAAGAUUUAGAAGACAAGAUGCAGGGUACCUGUUCCAUAGGGAUUCCCGGCCCAGCCUGCAGAUGUCUCACGGCUGCCCUACUCACUCCCAAGGCGUCUUUUUCUUCCAGAGCAAUCUUCGGGAUUGCUUAGGGAGUGACCAGAGCAGGAGCCAAUGAAAUACCCUGGAAAGCAUGGAUAAAGUGCCUACUUUAUUGGAAAUUUUUUUAACUAAACAGGAUAAUUCCCUUCCUAAUCCCCAUUUAGUGGAUAAAAUAGAUUUAAUUCUGAAUUAUCACCUUAUUAUCAAUUCAACUUUUCAAAUCUUGGUCAAAUAUUAUUCACAUUAAAGUCUCAAUUCCUUUGAACUACAAAAUCUUUUCACUGCCCCCAAAUUUGCAUUUCUGAGACAAAUGGGUCUCUUCACUUCCCUGAAAAAAUUCCAGUUUGUCAAUGCUGGUAAUGUGGUGUCCUUCCAUUGUCUGUUGGAGUGGGACUGAGAUUUCCUGAGAGAGCUUUGGGUGGGUUUGCUGACUAGUCAACCCUCCGUGUGCUCCCACAGGACAGGUCAGAAGUCAGCAGGCUUUUAGGUUUCAUCUGACAAGCUUCACCGGGAAACAUGUACGUAGUCAGAUCUCUGCUGUAUGAGGAGCUGGUCUUGCUGGUUGAACAGGAUGACACUGAAGCGUCAGUGUAACAGCCCUACAGAGUGGGUGUGUGUUGGUUAAAACACAGCCGCUGUGCAUGUGAAGUCUAUGGAAGCGGUCCCCUCUGCCCCGUCGCAUCCUCUCACUCAGCUCAGGACUUGAACAGCAGCAGCAUCUCACCUUGGCUUCGUUGCAUUAUACUCCAGGUGCUAUACGCUUUGUCUGUUCAUCUGGUACUCAUGGCCUCACUUUGAGGGCAGCACUAUUAUUUCCCCUAUUUAUAAAAAAGGAAACUGGAGGGUAAAGAACUGAGCAUCCAUACCAGGAACACAGGUCUAGGAUUUGGACCCAACCAACCAAGUGUAAACCUGGUCCUCAGGACCCACAGUUGUUGCGGUGACAGGCUGACCAGGUGGGCAGAGGGAGAACCUGGUGGGGCCAAGUGACCUCUCAGGCUCUGGCCUUGUGGUGACCCUUGACACGGACAGAGCUCACAGUCAGGGUAUAAUGGUCCUGACUUUUCUUCAAAGCUGUAUGAAGGGAGAAGCACCACACACGUAAACUGUCUGCUGCUCAGUGACAUUUUCUCACAUGCUUCCUCGGUGCACUUGGCAAGUUUGGGAAUAGCCGAUGUGACAGAUCCUGAACACAGACAAGAACCUCUUUCCGCCUUACCCUUUUCAAUUUUUCAAUCAGGUGGCAGUUCCUCUUUGUUUUGUAUCCAGUGACCUGAUCAUUCUCAUCAGUGAUGGUGCAACUCUCCUCCAGCCGCAGUGUCUGGAACUCAUCAAGGUGACCUAGGCGGACAUACCUGCAAACAGGGUUUUUUGUCAAUCAGUAAACCCCUGUAAAUCAGACUCAUAAACCAAAGGGUUUUGGAAAUCUCUGACACUGGAAAGCUGACAAGUAGAGAAUAAAAAGGAUAAAGUUCUCAUCUCUACAGAAGUGAGAAAAAAACAACCCACCUCUGUGGACUUCAUUCAUCAUUACCACAGUCUGUAUCUCCUUUUAUUUUUUCUAUUUAUGUUUAACUUUGUCUUAUUCCAAGAAGCAUUGUAGGCAAUAUAUGAGAAUUGGAGAAAUGCAAGAUUCUAAUGCUACCCUGUAGGGCCUGGGCCUUGCUUGCUCAGCAAAAGCCCCCAGGCCCAUUGCAACCAUGUGUCCUUCUGGCUUCCUGCUGGGCAGGGAGCCCAGCUGCUGGGAUUUGUAACGAUCUGGGCCUGGCCAGCCUGGAUCCCCCCUUAUCCCACGAGAAGAACAUCGAGUCUUACAGGAAGACAGAGCCCCUCCACGUGAGCUACUGUUCCUGGGAACACUGGUCGUACCAAGGACAGCCCUAUGGCAAGCAUGCAGCCUUUGUUUCUCUGCUUACUUAAGCAAACUUCUCUUAGGGGGCGGUUGCAGGUGCACACUUCUGUCCAGCCAGCUGCCACUGGACACUCCUGUAAGUAGGACCCAGUAAACCUAUAUGUCUCGUUCACAGUCUCCGGGUCAUUUCUUUGGUCUCUCGGUGCGAUAUCCUGCCACCUUAGCCCAGCUGGGCUUGCGGCCUAACAUACCCAGUAUCAGUUAAGAGGGGAAUAUUUGUCUUAGGAUAAUGAGGAAGGAAAUGAGAGAACAUGGGUUAUGGCCAGUUGCCAAAAGAAAGCAGUGAUGGAAAAUGCAAAAACAAAAUAGCCUUGACCAAAAUGAGAGUAACUGGAAAACAAAAAUAUAUGCACUCACCAUUCCUACAGAUUAGGGUUCACUGUAUGCCAAAUAUUUCUGAAAUCAAAAUAUAGAAUGCCGAGACCACUUCUGGGCCUGAGUGUCUUUUUAUAUCUUUUGGCCAUGUGUGUACAUGUGCAUCUGCACAUGUGUUUGUCUUCUCUUUGGGUUGAGACAUUCUCAAAUAUUGGCAGGUUAACAAAAAUACAUACUGAUCUUCAGAAGUCAAGGGGAGUGAUGACAUUUAUGUUUUUACCUCAUGGAGUGGCAUCAAAUUAACUAAGAUUAUGCAUGAAAUGACUGGGAUUCUGAUACUGGACUGCACACAUUUCUCACUUGAUUAUAGCUGGGAUGUGGUUGAAUGGUUUGGAAAGUUUGAUCCUUUCAGGUAUUGCUUUUAGGAUGUUAGGUGAGACUAAAGCAGUCCUAAAUCUAGACUAAUUAUUCUACUGAGGCUAGACACUUCUGAAUGUCUCCCCAUUGGCGCACGAACCAUGACACUUUCCAUUCUGGCUAGUGGCAGGAGGCAGUCUGCAGGAGUGCCGGGCACCGUUCCCUCUGAUCCUUUAGUUGGCUUUUCCCUUCAUGUGCAUGUGCCAGCCACCCUCAGCUGAACCCUUGAGGAGCGACAUGUCUCCGGAGUUCUCCUAUAUCAGAAAUGACGUUGAGCUGAACAUGUGUGAGAAACUGUUUACAAUAUAAGAAAAUUUUAUAAUUUCGUAAUUAUAGUAAAAGAUUUAACUCAUUUCUUUCAGAGACGUGCAAAUCAAGAGGAUAAAAAAAUAAGACUACUGAGAAUUUGAACAACACAUUUGACCAAAUAUACACCUUUAUAUAAUAAAGAGAAGACAUAUAUUACCAUAGAAAUCCAGAAAAGUUGACACAUUCAGCUCAGUUUAGGUCAUAAAGAAAUGAUAGCUAAUAGUAGCCAAAAAACAAUCUGAUUUAAAAAUGGGCAGAGGAUCUGAAUAGAUAUUUUUGCAAAGAAGACAUACAGAUGGCCCAC